AGAAUCAACGCUGGCGGCGUGCCUAACACAUGCAAGUCGCACGAGAAAGGGAGCAAUCCCUGAGUAAAGUGGCGCACGGGUGAGUAACACGUGAAUGAUCUACCUCCGAGUGGGGAAUAACUGAGAGAAAUCUUAGCUAAUACCGCAUAACACUUACGAGUCAAAGCAGCAAUGCGCUUGGAGAGGAGUUCGCGGCCGAUUAGUUAGUUGGCGGGGUAAUGGCCCACCAAGACGAUGAUCGGUA
rnacentral:rRNA from 1 species